UGGGGAAUAUUGGACAAUGGGGGCAACCCUGAUCCAGCAAUGCCGCGUGGGUGAAGAAGGUCUUCGGAUUGUAAAGCCCUUUCGGCGGGGACGAUGAUGACGGUACCCGCAGAAGAAGCCCCGGCUAACUUCGUGCCAGCAGCCGCGGUAAUACGAAGGGGGCUAGCGUUGCUCGGAAUGACUGGGCGUAAAGGGCGCGUAGGCGGUUGUGACAGUCAGGCGUGAAAUUCCCGGGNUUAACCUGGGGGCUGCGCUUGAUACGCCAUGACUUGAGUGUGGAAGAGGGUCGUGGAAUUCCCAGUGUAGAGGUGAAAUUCGUAGAUAUUGGGAAGAACACCGGUGGCGAAGGCGGCGACCUGGUCCAUUACUGACGCUGAGGCGCGAAAAGCGUGGGGAGCAAACAGGAUUAGAUACCCUGGUAGUCCACGCUGUAAAACGAUGUGCGCUGGAUGUUGGGUGGCCUAGCCACUCAGUGUCGUAGCUAACGCGGUAAGCGCACCGCCUGGGGGAGUACGGCCGCAAGGUUG
rnacentral:rRNA from 1 species